rnacentral:rRNA from 1 species
UACGUAGGGGGCAAGCGUUGUCCGGAUUUAUUGGGCGUAAAGAGCGUGUAGGCGGUUGGGUAGGUCCGUUGUGAAAACUCGAGGCUCAACCUCGAGACGCCGAUGGAAACCCCCCAGCUAGAGUCCGGAAGAGGAGAGUGGAAUUCCUGGUGUAGCGGUGAAAUGCGUAGAUAUCGGGAGGAACACCAGUGGCGAAGGCGACUUCCUGGCCUGUUCUUGACGCUGAGGCGCGAAAGCUAGGGGAGCAAACGGG